GGAGGGAUGCCCGAGUGGUUAAAGGGGACGGACUGUAAAUCCGUUGGUUCGCCUACGUUGGUUCAAAUCCAACUCCCUCCACCA
rnacentral:tRNA from 3 species